rnacentral:rRNA from 1 species
CACGGGGGGCGCAAGCGUUGUUCGGAUUCAUUGGGCGUAAAGGGCUCGUAGGUGGCUUUGUAAGUCGGAGGUGAAAUCCCACGGCUCAACCGUGGACACGCCUUCGAAACUGUGAAGCUUGAGGCUGGGAGAGGAAAUCGGAAUUCCUGGUGUAGCGGUGAAAUGCGUAGAUAUCGUAAGGAAGACCAGUGGCGAAGGCGGGUCUCUGGACAGUUCCUGACGCUGAGGCACGAAGGCCAGGGGAGCAAACGGG